GCGCCGGUGGUGUAAGGCGAACAUCGCUGCCCGGAAAGCAGAAGAUGCGGGUUCGAGUCCCGCCUCGCGCA
rnacentral:tRNA from 1 species